rnacentral:rRNA from 1 species
CGGCGCACGGGUGAGUAACGCGUAUGCAACCUGCCUUUAACAGGGGGAUAACCCGGAGAAAUUCGGACUAAUACCGCAUAAAACAGGGGCUCCGCAUGGAGAUAUUUGUUAAAGAUUUAUCGGUUAUAGAUGGGCAUGCGUUCCAUUAGCCAGUUGGUGAGGUAACGGCUCACCAAAGCGACGAUGGAUAGGGGAACUGAGAGGUUUGUCCCCCACACUGGAACUGAGACACGGACCAGACUCCUACGGGAGGCAGCAGUGAGGAAUAUUGGUCAAUGGGCGAGAGCCUGAACCAGCCAAAUCGCGUGAAGGAAGACUGCCUUAUGGGUUGUAAACUUCUUUUAUACAGGAAUAAAAAAGGGGACGUGUCCCUUAUUGCAUGUACUGUAUGAAUAAGCAUCGGCUAACUCCGUGCCAGCAGCCGCGGUAAUACGGAGGAUGCGAGCGUUAUCCGGAUUUAUUGGGUUUAAAGGGUGCGCAGGCGGGCUUUUAAGUCAGCGGUGAAAUCUCGGGGCUUAACUCCGAAACUGCCGUUGAAACUGGGAGUCUUGAGUAUGGAUGAAGUAGGUGGAAUUCGUUGUGUAGCGGUGACAUGCUUAGAUAUAACGAGGAACUCCGAUUGCGUAGGCAGCUUACUAAGCCAUAACUGACGCUCAAGCACGAAAGCGUGGGGAUCAAACAGGAUUAGAUACCCUGGUAGUCCACGCCGUAAACGAUGAUUACUAGUUGUAUGCGAUAUACCGUAUGUGACUAAGCGAAAGCGA